AACGAACGCUGGCGGCAUGCCUAACACAUGCAAGUCGAACGAGACCUUCGGGUCUAGUGGCGCACGGGUGCGUAACGCGUGGGAACCUGCCCUUAGGUUCGGAACAACUCCCCGAAAGGGGUGCUAAUACCGGAUAAUGUCACCGGACCAAAGAUUUAUCGCCUUUGGAUGGGCCCGCGUUGGAUUAGCUAGUUGGUAGGGUAAAAGCCUACCAAGGCGACGAUCCAUAGCUGGUCUGAGAGGAUGAUCAGCCACACUGGGACUGAGACACGGCCCAGACUCCGACGGGAGGGAGCAGUGGGGAAUAUUGGACAAGGGGCGAAGGAGUGAUCCAGCGAUGCCGCGUGAGUGAUGAGGGCCUUAGGGUUGUAAAGCUCUUGUAGCCGGGAUGAUAAUGACAGUACCGGGAGAAGAAGCACCGGCUAACUCCGUG
rnacentral:rRNA from 1 species